GGGCAGGUGGUGGAACGGCAGACACGUACGGUUCAGGGCCGUAUGCCGCAAGGCGUGGGGGUUCAAAUCCCCCCCUGCCCA
rnacentral:tRNA from 1 species